GUAAAGCGUCUGUAGGCGGAUGUGUAAAUUGGGCGUGAAAGCUCCGGGCUUAACCCGGAGAGGCCGUUCAAUACUGCAUAACUUGAGGGUGUCAGAGGGGAGCGGAAUUCCCGGUGUAGCGGUAAAAUGCGCAGAGAUCGGGAGGAACACCAGUGNCGGAGNCGGUUCCCUGGGGCACACCUGACGCUGAGAGACGAAAGCUAGGGGAGCGAACAGGAUUAGAGACCCUGGUAGUCCUAGCCCUAAACGAUGAAUGCUAGGUGUGGGAUCGAAUGGUUCCGUGCCGGAGCGAACGCGAUAAGCAUUCCGCCUGGGGAGUACGGCCGCAAGGUUAAAACUCAAACGAAUUGACGGGGCCCCGCACAAGCAGCGGAGCGUGUGGUUUAAUUCGAUGCUACACGAAGAACCUUACCUGGGUUUGACAUGUAGGUGGUAGUGAAUCGAAAGGUGAACGACCCUUCGGGGAGCCUACACAGGUGCUGCAUGGCUGUCGUCAGCUCGUGCCGUGAGGUGUCGGGUUAAGUCCCGUAACGAGCGCAACCCUUGCUCCUAGUUACAAGUGUCUAGGGGGACUGCCGGCGGAAAGCCGGAGGAAGGUGGGGAUGACGUCAAGUCAGCAUGGCCCUUAUAUCCAGGGCUACACACACGCUACAAUGGUCGGUACAAAGGGCAGCGAAACCGCGAGGCGGAGCGAAUCCGAGAAAAGCCGAUCGUAGUUCGGAUAGCAGGCUGCAACCCGCCUGCUUGAAGCUGGAGUUGCUAGUAACCGCGCGUCAGCCAUAGCGCGGUGAUACGUUCCCGGGGCUUGUACACACCGCCCGUCACGUCAUGGGAGUCGGUAACGCCUGAAGCCGGUAGUCUAACUGGAAACAGGAGACGCUGUCGAGGGCGGGACUGGCAACUGGGACGAAGUCGU
rnacentral:rRNA from 1 species